GACGUAGGGCGCGAGCGUUGUCCGGAUUUAUUGGGCGUAAAGAGCUCGUAGGCGGCUUGUCACGUCGGUUGUGAAAGCCCGGGGCUUAACCCCGGGUCUGCAGUCGAUACGGGCAGGCUAGAGUUCGGUAGGGGAGACUGGAAUUCCUGGUGUAGCGGUGGAAUGCGCAGAUAUCAGGAGGAACACCGAUGGCGAAGGCAGGUCUCUGGGCCGCAACUGACGCUGAGGAGCGAAAGCAUGGGGAGCGAACAGG
rnacentral:rRNA from 1 species